rnacentral:rRNA from 1 species
AUACGGAGGGUGCAAGCGUUAAUCGGAAUUACUGGGCGUAAAGCGCGCGUAGGCGGAUUAGUAAGUCGGAUGUGAAAGCCCUGGGCUCAACCUGGGAAUUGCAUUCGAUACUGCUUGACUAGAGUAUGGUAGAGGGAAGUGGAAUUUCCGGUGUAGCGGUGAAAUGCGUAGAUAUCGGAAGGAACACCAGUGGCGAAGGCGACUUCCUGGGCCAAUACUGACGCUGAGGUGCGAAAGCGUGGGGAGCAAACAGGAUUAGAAACCCGGGUAGUCC